AGAGCGAUGGUGUAGUGGAAGCACACUGUCUCAGCCAGAGAGGGGCGCUGGUUCAAAUCCAGCUCGCUCUCCA
rnacentral:tRNA from 1 species